rnacentral:rRNA from 1 species
UACGUAGGGUGCGAGCGUUGUCCGGAAUUAUUGGGCGUAAAGAGCUUGUAGGCGGUUUGUCGCGUCUGCCGUGAAAGCCCAGGGCUUAACCCUGGGUCUGCGGUGGGUACGGGCAGACUAGAGUGCGGUAGGGGUGACUGGAAUUCCUGGUGUAGCGGUGGAAUGCGCAGAUAUCAGGAGGAACACCGAUGGCGAAGGCAGGUCACUGGGCCGCAACUGACGCUGAGGAGCGAAAGCAUGGGGAGCGAACAGG